rnacentral:rRNA from 1 species
UCUUCGGAGGAAGAGGACAGUGACUGAGCGGCGGACGGGUGAGUAACGCGUGGGCAACCUGCCUCAUACAGGGGGAUAACAGUUAGAAAUGACUGCUAAUACCGCAUAAGCGCACAGGACCGCAUGGUGUAGUGUGAAAAACUCCGGUGGUAUGAGAUGGACCCGCGUCUGAUUAGGUAGUUGGUGGGGUAAAGGCCUACCAAGCCGACGAUCAGUAGCCGACCUGAGAGGGUGACCGGCCACAUUGGGACUGAGACACGGCCCAAACUCCUACGGGAGGCAGCAGUGGGGAAUAUUGCACAAUGGGGGAAACCCUGAUGCAGCGACGCCGCGUGAAGGAAGAAGUAUUUCGGUAUGUAAACUUCUAUCAGCAGGGAAGAAGAUGACGGUACCUGAGUAAGAAGCACCGGCUAAAUACGUGCCAGCAGCCGCGGUAAUACGUAUGGUGCAAGCGUUAUCCGGAUUUACUGGGCGUAAGGGAGCGUAGACGGAUAGGCAAGUCUGGAGUGAAAACCCAGGGCUCAACCCUGGGACUGCUUUGGAAACUGCAGAUCUGGAGUGCCGGAGAGGUAAGCGGAAUUCCUAGUGUAGCGGUGAAAUGCGUAGAUAUUAGGAGGAACACCAGUGGCGAAGGCGGCUUAC